ensembl:lncRNA
GCAAGCCUCCAAACACAACCCCCCCCCCCCCUGUGUUAAGUGGCCGGAUGUGUUGGCUGAAUGGGACACAGGUGUCUGGGCCACUCUGUGAGCCUGGCCAGAGGUCCGUGUUUGUUUUCCCUCCGUAAUGGCCCCCCCCCGAUCUCUCGGCUGCUGCGCCACCAGAGCUCAUUUGCGCUCAAUGGGCCGAGGUGGAGCACCCCCCCCCCCCAUUUAUUUAUUUAUUUAUAUAUACAUUUUUGUAUUGUACUGGAUAAACUGGAGUCAUCCCACAACCCAAUGCCAAGGCUACGCACCGAGAGCGCUGGUGAUUUUUAGUACUCUAAAAAUCACCAGCGCCCUUUUGUUAGUCCUCCCUUCUUUUUUUUUUGUCCCGUUCGUUGCCUCUGAUCUGCUUCAAGUAUUCAAGACUCCGGCUUUUCUGUUGAGUCCUCAAAGUGCGACACACACACACACACACACACACAGAGAGCUGGAGGGGAGUAAUGUGACUCCCACAUAGUCCGCCACCUCUACUGUUUCCACCCUCCACGCCCAUGUCGCCCCACUUGCCUCCUGCACACAGGCGUAGUCACAGUGUUGAUGUCACUCUGCUGAGACCCCCCCCCCCCCUUUUUUUUAUUUUUUUGAGUAACAGCCUAAAGAUGCGGCAUGGCUUACGGGGUAGACGCACAUUCACCGCCUCAAUAACCCCAGGGAGCGCAGCAGGGUGAGGCAAUGGAUGGCAUGUUAACCCCCCCCCCCCCCCCCCCCCUCCUACCCCCACCUCCCUCCCAGCAACCUCUCGUGUUUUGGCCGACGCUCCCUCAGCAGCGGCCACUAUCGCCGCCCUGAUCCGGUGGUCUGAGACCUGUGACCUCUCCAGAUGGCCGGGCCUCUGAGCGGCUUUAUGAUAACCAUACAGUUAAUAUCUGGCCCACAUAUAACCCCCCCACCCCCACCUCCACUACCCACCGCCUCUGCUGCUCUCGUCCCCCCCCGUGCUAUUGUCUCUUAUGCCCACUCCUGAGUACCCCGUUAUAUUCCUUCGUUUCACUCAUCUUUUUUUUUUUUUUCUAAAAUUCCAGAAUCCAUUUCUUUUGUCCCCCAGGCGCAACGGGCGAAGGCUCGAAAACGGUGUAGCAAAUUAAAUUCCGUCUCCCUCUUCAUGCUCCCCUUGGACGUCUGCAUGAUGGAACAGUCAAAGGAGAACAGGGGCAAGGGAAUCUGGAAGAAAAGAGCCCAUUUCCCAUGCAUUACUGCCUCUUUCCUCAGGUUCAUUGCCACAAGUUUCACGCUGCUCAUGUGAUGCAGCCUCAUUCCGCGGCGUUGUGUCAUCCACUGCGCAGCCGUGUUCUUUCAUCGGCGUCCGAGUCGCUUGGUUCUUGUGAUCGACAGGCCGGGUUAGCAUGGGCGAGUGCGAUUCUGGUAAGCGUGUUGUUUACCCGGCCUGAAGGCCCUCCGUGGUCUACAGAUGUUUCCAGAAAGCUGUAAAUAUCCGCUGUGUGCUGUAAUGUCAGUUGAAAGCGUAUCUGAUGAUGGGACAUCGAUGCCUUUCUGUGCCUUUGAGGUGGUCUGAGGGUCCAAAAUGAAAACCUCAUGCUGGGAUUCCGCAACGUCGACUGUUGAAGAUGAUCCAUGUAUUUGCGUUCACAUCCCAG